CCUACGGGAGGCAGCAGUGAGGAAUAUUGGUCAAUGGACGAGAGUCUGAACCAGCCAAGUAGCGUGAAGGAUGACUGCCCUAUGGGUUGUAAACUUCUUUUAUAAAGGAAUAAAACGAGGCACGUGUGCCCUUUUGCAUGUACUUUAUGAAUAAGGAUCGGCUAACUCCGUGCCAGCAGCCGCGGUAAUACGGAGGAUCCGAGCGUUAUCCGUAUUUAUUGGGUUUAAAGGGAGCGUAGAUGGGUUGUUAAGUCAGUUGUGAAAGUUUGCGGCUCAACCGUAAAAUUGCAAUUGAUACUGGCAGUCUUGAGUACAGUUGAGGUAGGCGGAAUUCGUGGUGUAGCGGUGAAAUGCUUAGAUAUCACGAAGAACCCCGAUUGCGAAGGCAGCUUACUAAACUGUGACUGACAUUGAUGCUCGAAAGUGUGGGUAUCAAACAGGAUUAGAUACCCUGGUAGUC
rnacentral:rRNA from 1 species